UCUUAGAUGACUGAGACAUAAGUGUUAGAUUUUUAAUCUAAAGACGGCAUAAAUAUAAAAUGCCUCUAAGAG
rnacentral:tRNA from 1 species